rnacentral:lncRNA from 1 species
CUGGGGUUGUGGCUCAGUUGGCAGAGUGCUUGCCUAGCAUGAGUGAGGCACUGGGUUCGAGUCUCAGCACCGCAUAUAAAUAAAUAAAAAAUUAAGGUCCAUCAACAACUAAAAAAUAAUUUUAAAAAAUGGCCAUACAUUUUAAAAGAUUCUCCCAAUAAGAAGCAGUCUAUUUCCUUACCCUGUGAAUCUUGGUUGACAUGGUUACUUAUUUUGACCCAUUGAAUGCCACAAAAAUGAUACGGUAUGAUUUUAGAAUCUGAGCCUUACACCCACCCUUGUUUUCUUGGAAUGCUGCUGCCAAGCUAGCUGGCUGGAGAGGUCAUGUAUAGGAGAAGCAGGACUGCCCAGUUGUCUGCCAGAUGUGUGAGUAAGGCCGUCUGUGACCCGCUAGCCCCAAGCCAACUAAAUAAUAGCAAAUGUAUGUGUGAGCCCAACUCACAAUGGAAUUGUGAGCAAAUAAAAAUGGUUGCUGUUUUA